rnacentral:rRNA from 1 species
UACGUAGGGGGCAAGCGUUGUCCGGCAUUAUUGGGCGUAAAGCGCGCGCAGGUGGUUCCUUAAGUCUGAUGUGAAAGCCCACGGCUCAACCGUGGAGGGUCAUUGGAAACUGGGGAACUUGAGUGCAGAAGAGGAAAGUAGAAUUCCAAGUGUAGCGGUGAAAUGCGUAGAGAUUUGGAGGAACACCAGUGGCGAAGGCGACUUUCUGGUCUGUAACUGACACUGAGGCGCGAAAGCGUGGGGAGCAAACAGU